rnacentral:rRNA from 1 species
UACGGAGACUGCGAGCGUUACUCGGAUUUACUGGGCGUAAAGGGUCCGUAGGCGGCCAUGUGUGUCGGGUGUGAAAUCCUGCAGCUUAACUGUAGACUUGCGCCCGAAACUACAUGGCUAGAGUAUUAGAGAGGUGAGUGGAAUUCCUGGUGUAGCGGUGAAAUGCGUAGAUAUCAGGAGGAACACCAACGGCGAAGGCAGCUCACUGGACAAUUACUGACGCUGAGGGACGAAAGUGUGGGGAGCAAAAGGGAUUAGAUACCCGGGUAGU